UAUCUUUUAUUUUAUGCUUUUUUUCCAAGAUUUUCAAAAUUCUGAAAACUAAUAAUCCUAGCAUCCUUAUACGCUAUAAAUAUCAAAGUCAUUCUCAUUUCCAAAUCAUUAAAAAAAUGGUUAUCUCAAAGGUGUUGUGACGGAGAUCAUUCACGACACAUGAUGUGGUGCUCCGUUGUAUCGUGUAGCUUUCCGUCAUCAUUUCCGAUUCAAGAAGCAUAAGCUCUUCCUUGCUGCUGAAGGAUGAAGUUGCCAUCGGGUUCGAAAAAGAUUGUGCCAAGUGGAUGCAUGGCCAUGAUUGGUCAAGUUGCAGGUGGUGGAAGAACUGAGAAGCCGAUGCUAAAUGCUGGUAACACAUACCACAAGUACCGUGUGAAGAGAAACAUGAUUCGGUUCUUAUUUAUCUAGGUUCUUCCUAGGUUCGAACAAAGUGAUGCAGGUUGCUCUUGGUCGUGAUGAAUUCCGUUCUGGUAUCUACAAGUCUCCAAGAUCAACAAACAAGCUUGACUAUGAUCAUCCAAAUUCUGUUUGAUGAAUGCUUAGCCAAGUUCCAAUAAUUGAUGGAAUUUAUCUUGAGGCUUAUCUACCACCAAAGAAGUUACUUCAGCGAGAAAGAUAUUCACAGAGCACACGUAACAAGCCUUCACAUGAUCACUCAGAGACUGAGCUAAGCAAUGCU